rnacentral:rRNA from 1 species
UACAGAGGGUGCGAGCGUUGUUCGGAAUUAUUGGGCGUAAAGGGCGCGUAGGCGGUGUUGUAAGUCACCUGUGAAACCUCUGGGCUUAACUCAGAGCCUGCAGGCGAAACUGCAAUGCUGGAGGGUGGGAGAGGGUGAUGGAAUUUCCGGUGUAGCGGUGAAAUGCGUAGAGAUCGGAAGGAACGUCAAUGGCGAAGGCAGUCACCUGGCAACAUACUGACGCUGAGCCACGAAAGCGUGGGUAGCGAACAGG